rnacentral:rRNA from 1 species
AUUGAACGCUGGCGGCAUGCCUUACACAUGCAAGUCGAACGGCAGCACGGGAGCAAUCCUGGUGGCGAGUGGCGAACGGGUGAGUAAUAUAUCGGAACGUGCCCAGUCGUGGGGGAUAACGUAGCGAAAGCUACGCUAAUACCGCAUACGAUCUAUGGAUGAAAGCGGGGGAUCGCAAGACCUCGCGCGAUUGGAGCGGCCGAUAUCAGAUUAGGUAGUUGGUGAGGUAAAGGCUCACCAAGCCGACGAUCUGUAGCUGGUCUGAGAGGACGACCAGCCACACUGGGACUGAGACACGGCCCAGACUCCUACGGGAGGCAGCAGUGGGGAAUUUUUGGACAAUGGGCGCAAGCCUGAUCCAGCAAUGCCGCGUGCAGGAUGAA